AGGCAUCAUUUAAAGCUCUGGGGGGGUCUGUAGAUGUGUGCAGGGGUCUGUUAAAUAUCUGGAGGAGUCUGAAGAGGUCUGGGGAGCUCUGUAGGGGUCUGUAUGUGUUUGCAGGCAUCUGUAGGGGUCUGUAGAUGCCUGUAGGGAUUUGCAGGGGUCUGUUAGUUGUCAGUAGAGGUCUGCCUGGGUUUGGAGGUGCCUUUUAAUGGGUCUGUGGAGGUCUGGAGGGUUCUGUGGAGUUCUGCAGUGGUCUGUUAAAGGUGUGGAGGGGUCUGUAGGUGUUUGCAUUCAAUUAAGGAGUUCUUUGGCUCCAGGGCACUUUUGUCUAAUGUCUCUAAACUGUGACCGUAGCAAGUGAGAUAGAGGUGCACUGGCAGCAUGUUUGCAGAUGGCCCCAACCUGAGUGGUGCUAUAGAGAACUCAGAGGGACAGGAUGGCAUCUAGAAAACACCUGGGCAGGCAGGAGAGCUGGGCCCAGGUGAAGCUGCUAAUGUUCAACAAGAGCAAGUGGAGAGUGCUGCAGCUGGGCGGGAGCAAGCGUGCCUGUCACUGCAGGCUGGGGGUGGAGGUGAUAAAAAGCAGUCCUGAGAAGGCCUUAGGGGUGCUUGGGAGAAGCUGAGUCUGAGCAGCCUGUGUGAGCUUGCAGGCCAGAAGGAGUCUGUCAGAGAGAUCUUAUUUGCUUUACCCAAAAUCAAGUUGGAGAGAUGUGUGGAGCCUCAGCCACAGACCCUGACUGUUGGGGGGAUGCUUUCAUGGCAGAAAGCGGAGCUGUUCGAAACCCAGUUCUCCUUGCAAGUGGUUAAGAAUUGGAUUCCCUUUGGAAAAUGGGGACAGAGACAUCUCUCUGCUGCCUGAGUUCGCCUGGUGAAUUCAUGGGGGGAAGGGCAGGAAACUCCCAAAUGACCACAUCUGUACUUAAUAGAAUGAAGAUUAUGGAGGGAAAAGUGAGGUGACUUCAGAGCAGAGAAGUGAUGUUGCAGAGGAAAAAGCUGAACAGGUCUAUUGGGAAGAAAACAAACUCUGGAGGAAAAAUCUGAGGUAAACAAGAGGACACAGGUGACAUUUUCUAUUCAAAAAAGUGAACAAGUCUCUAGGGGAUAAAAAUGAAGAUUGUAGGAGGAAAAAGCUGAGGUGAUUAGGUGGGACAGAGCCGACAUUGUGAAUGGAAAAACAUAAUGUAAUCCAUAGGGGAGAAAAGGAGCAUU